rnacentral:lncRNA from 1 species
UUUGUUGAGUAUGUAUUUCUUCUUCUAAUUAUAUUUUCUUACUUUUUUGUUAUUAGGAUCCGAAGCGAUUUAGAUGCCGUGUACAUGAAUAUGUACCCCACUAUCCUUUAAUAGAACCAUAUAUUAGAGGAUGUGGAUUUGGAAAUCUACUAAACAUUGUUUCGUACUCGGUGGACUACAAGUUCAUUCUGGCUUUGUUGG